AAGGGAGACCUAAUUCCGGUAGGAGACGAAAAAAAAGUAGUCCCAACCAAGAAUCAAUCCCAAAAGGUCGGAACGAGGUAUGAGGCUUUCAAACUAGGUUCUGGGUUCAUAUAAGACCUGAAUCAGGAACAAGGGCUAUUAGCUCAGGUGGUUAGAGCGCACCCCUGAUAAGGGUGAGGUCCCUGGUUCGAGUCCAGGAUGGCCCACCUGCACAGGUGGCAAAAACAAGAGAAGCUCCGAAUCAGCACCUUAUCUUAUAUACAUAUAUAAGAGAGAAUGCUGGCUCUGAGUAAAGAGUCCAGAGGAACCUUGAAAACUGCAUAGAGCUAGGUGAAAAAGCCAAAAAAGAAGACCGCAA
rnacentral:tRNA from 1 species